GAUGAACGCUGGCGGCGUGCUUAACACAUGCAAGUCGAACGGUGAAGGCGGAGCUUGCUCUGCUGGAUCAGUGGCGAACGGGUGAGUAACACGUGAGCAAUCUGCCCCUGACUCUGGGAUAAGCGCUGGAAACGGCGUCUAAUACUGGAUACGAGCUGCGAAGGCAUCUUCAGCAGCUGGAAAGAACUUCGGUCAGGGAUGAGCUCGCGGCCUAUCAGCUUGUUGGUGAGGUAACGGCUCACCAAGGCGUCGACGGGUAGGCGGCCUGAGAGGGUGACCGGCCACACUGGGACUGAGACACGGCCCAGACUCCUACGGGAGGCAGCAGUGGGGAAUAUUGCACAAUGGGCGAAAGCCUGAUGCAGCAACGCCGCGUGAGGGACGACGGCCUUCGGGUUGUAAACCUCUUUUAGCAGGGAAGAAGCGAAAGUGACGGUACCUGCAGAAAAAGCGCCGGCUAACUACGUG
rnacentral:rRNA from 1 species